rnacentral:rRNA from 1 species
GCGAACGCUGGGGGUUCGUUUUAACACAUGCAAGUUGAACGGGGAAUUGUUUGGUGUCAAAUUUUCCGUAGCAGACGGGUGCAAAACGCGUAAGAAUCUACCCUUGAGUGUACGUGGUAUCGGUUUACACCGUCUACCUUAAAUCUCAACCUUAAUAUUUGAAAGUCGGGUUAGGCGAGGGAUAAUUGUUGGAAGCGACUUGUAAUACCUCAUAADCCGAGAGGUGAAAGGCCCGAACUUUAGGUCGCCAAAGGAUGAGCUUGCGUCCGAUUAGCUAGUUGGUGAGGUAAGAGCUUACCAAGGCCACGAUCAGUUGCUGGUUUGAGAGAACGAUCAGCCACAUCGGGACUGAGACACGGCCCGGACUCUUUCGAGGGGCAGCAGUGAGGAAUCUUCCGCAAUGAGCGAAAGCUUGACGGAGCGAUACCCUGUGGGGGACGACCGAUCAUAAGAUUUGUAAACCUCUUUUAUUAACGAAGAAGCUUUGACUGUACGUAAUGAACUAAGCAUCGGCUAACUCCGUGCCAGCAGCCGCGGUAAUACGGGGGAUGCAAGCGUUGUCCAGUUUUAUUGGGCGUAAGGCGCCUGUCGGUUGCCCUACAAGUCCGUUGUUAAAGGUCACAGCUUAACUGUGGAAAAGCAAUUGAAACUGUGGGGCUAGAGGAUGGCUGGGGUAGAGAGAAUUUCUAGUGGAGCGGUAAAAUGCGUAGAUAUUAGAAGGAACACCAGCGGCGAAGGCGCUCUACUGGACCAUUUCUGACACUUAAGGGCGAAAGCUGGGGGAGCAAAAAGGAUUAGGUACCCUUGUAGUCCCAGCCGUAAACGAUGGAUACUAGAUGUUGCACAAUUCUUUUCGGGGCAAAACCAAAGUUAGCAUUGGAGUGUGCGAGAUUUGCGUARUGGCUUAUGAAUUUUAGAGAUCAUGUUUGCAGUAUCGUAGCUAACGCGUUAAGUAUCCCGUCUGGGGAGUACGCUCGCAAGGGUGAAACUCAAAGGAAUUGGCGGGAGCCCUCGCWAGCGRUGGAGCAUGCGGUUUAAUUCGAUGCAACACGAAGAACCUUACCUAGGCUUGACAACCUGCAGGUUCNGUUGAAAAAAUGUGAAACUUAAAGCAGACUUCCAAGAUGUCGUUCUUGGGAGCAGCAGGCACAGGUGGUGCAUGGCUGUCGUCAGUUCGUGUCG